rnacentral:rRNA from 1 species
GAUGAACGCUGGCGGCGUGCCUAAUACAUGCAAGUCGAGCGAACGGGCGAGAAGCUUGCUUCUCUGAUGUUAGCGGCGGACGGGUGAGUAACACGUGGAUAACCUACCUAUAAGACUGGGAUAACUUCGGGAAACCGGAGCUAAUACCGGAUGAUAUUUUGAACCGCAUGGUUCAAAAGUGAAAGACGGUCUUGCUGUCACUUAUAGAUGGAUCCGCGCUGCAUUAGCUAGUUGGUAAGGUAACGGCUUACCAAGGCAACGAUGCAUAGCCGACCUGAGAGGGUGAUCGGCCACACUGGAACUGAGACACGGUCCAGACUCCUACGGGAGGCAGCAGUAGGGAAUCCUCCGCAAUGGGCGAAAGCCUGACGGAGCAACGCCGCGUGAGUGAUGAAGGUCUUCGGAUCGUAAAACUCUGUUAUUAGGGAAGAACAUAUGUGUAAGUAACUGUGCACAUCUUGACGGUACCUAAUCAGAAAGCCACGGCUAACUACGUG